GGCUUGAUAGCUCAGUUGGUAGAGCACUGCUCCGGUAUCGCAGAGGUCAUGGGUUUGACUGAAUCCCGUUCAAACCU